CCCUUCAAAUUGACAAAAACAGUUCCACGUGUUCUUUAAUCGCGCCAGAAAAAACUAUCACAUCUUUCGCAUUAAUGGGUAGCAGGCCAGUCUUGGGAGACAAUGGCGGGUAUAGGAUUUGGAACUUCGUUAAAUACUCAAACUACAACCUCCACCCCAUCAUUUGGUUUUGGUAGUAUAGCUUCAACUGGACAAAGUAAAACUGGGUGAUU